rnacentral:rRNA from 1 species
CAGCAGCCGCGGUAAUACGAAGGGGGCUAGCGUUGUUCGGAGUUACUGGGCGUGAAGCGCACGUAGGCGGAUAUUUAAGUCAGGGGUGAGAUCCCAGAGCUCAACUCUGGAACUGCCUUUGAUACUGGGUAUCUUGAGUAUGGAAGAGGUGAGUGGAAUUCCGAGUGUAGAGGUGAAAUUCGUAGAUAUUCGGAGGAACACCAGUGGCGAAGGCGGCUCACUGGUCCAUUACUGACGCUGAGGUGCGAAAGCGUGGGGAGCAAACAGGAUUAGAGACCCCAGUAGUCCCUGUCUCUUAUAC